GCUUGUUGCAUGAUGAUCAUCCUUCCUCAUUCAUCAUUCUCAUAAGUAGAGUGCAUCAUUCAAGCCAAGCAAGCACUGGUCAAUACAAAUCCAUCAUGAAGACAUUUCUCAUCAUUUCCCUCCUUGCUAUCGUGGCGACCACCGCCACAACUGCAGUUAGAGUUCCAGUGCCACAAUUGCAGCCGCAAAAUCCAUCUCUGCAGCAACCACAAGAGCAAGUUCCAUUGGUGCAACAACAACAAUUUCCAGGGCAGCAACAAACAUUUCCACCACAACAGCCAUAUCCGCAGCCGCAACCAUUUCCAGCACAACAACCAUAUCCGCAGCCGCAACUAUUUCCACAGCCGCAACCUUUUCCGCCACAACUUCCAUAUCCGCAGCCGCAACCAUUUCCCCCACAACAACCAUAUCCACAACCGCAAACACAGCAUCUGCAACCACAACAACCAAUUUCGCAGCAACAAGCACAACAACAACAACAACAACAACAACAACAACAAAUCCUUCAACAAAUUCUGCAACAACAACAACUGAUUCCAUGCAGGGAUGUCAUCGUCUUGCAACAACACAACAUAGCGCAUGAAAGCUCACAAGUAUUGCAGCAAAGUAGUUACCAAGUGUUGCAACAAUUAUGUUGUCAGCAGCUGCGGCAGAUCCCCGAGCAGUCGCGGUGCCAAGCCAUCAACAAUGUCGUUCAUGCUAUUAUUCUGCAUCAACAACAACAACAACAAGGACAACAUCAACAGUCGAGCCAGGUCUCCUACCAGCAGCCUCAGCAACAAUAUCCAUCAGGCCAGGGCUCCUUCCAGCCAUCUCAGCAAAAUCCACAGGCCCAGGGCUUUGUCCAACCUCAACAUCUGCCCCAACUCGAGGAAAUAAGUAACCUAGCGCUGCAGACGCUACCAGCAAUGUGCAAUGUCUACAUCCCUCCAUAUUGCUCGACCACCAUUGCGCCAUUUGGCAUCUUCGGUACUAACUGAGAAGAGAAGAACUCUAGUACUAGAUAUAUGAAACACCGUGUUCUUAGUCCAUGGUUUGGUCGUUGUACCGUUGAAAAUAUAAGGUGACAUGCACUAUCAUGUAAGAACCCGAACUAUACUAGUUCAAACUUGGGAAUAAAAGACAAACACAUGUCUUGUCUGCAUAUGAUUGUUUAUUUGAGUUCCAUUCCUAUGCCCAUUCACAAGUUCACCCCUAAUUAUAUAUAUUACACAUUAAGUAGAUAUUUAUGUUGCAUUAAUCUGAAGAUAACAAAGUGAGUCUGAAACUUGAAUUAUUUUCUUGGACUUUCAAAUUGUGUAUUAUUAAAGUAGUAAGGACUAUCCACAUCCUUGGCUUGCCCUUGAUCAAUUAUUCCCAGAGAAGCUUUCAGUUCAUAAAUCAAUUACAUUGAUUUUUGUGAAUGGUACAUCUCCUCAUCACGAGUAUCAUUACGGCUACUCCAAAUCGCCCACAUAACCGAAGCAUUAAUAGCGCCCUUCUUGCAUCCGGAAAUAUGGAUCGAAGAUAUCACUUGACCAUGUUUCCAGGUGCAACCUUGGGAUUUUUAUGUGAAAAUAUUCUCAAGCAAAAUCCAAGAAUAAACUUGCAUGCUCACGUGUGAUGAGGGCAGAUGAAGUAACAUUUCCUCCCCAUGGCCACACAUAGGGCACACACAUAACCCCAUCACAUGCCUUUUUAGUUAUGCAUAUGAAAGGUAGGAUGUUUUUAAUUACUCUCCACCAAAAUACUCUUAACUUGGCUUGUACCCUAAUAUUUCGUUGCCUUUUCAAUUGUUCUUCCCCAUUAGACAAAGUAGACAGUCCAUCUACCACACCGUACCUUGUGUCCAUCAUUGCUCUGUACAACAAUUGAACAGAACAAAUGUCAUUUCUUUACGAUACCCACGACCAAAUGUCCUCUGCUGGAUUGUUUGGUCGUGGCAUAUUAAGGAUGGCCACCUCAUCUCAUGGGGUAAACACCUAAUGAAUGAAAGGAUUGUUCUAGUCGCCCGUGUUUUUCAUCGAUAAGAUCAUCUACAAGUUGGACCGAAGUUUCUCACAUGCAUCAUAGUGGUUUCAUUAGCGGCGUGCCCUGCACCCAUUUAUCACGUCGUAUCUCUGUAGUAUGUGCAUUCCCAAUUUGUCACAGCAUACCCUCCUUCAAACCUUCUUUCCCUUUCAGAUUAGCACGCCAAGUUAGCUAUGCACUAUGCGGGAACCAGCAUUUGAAAAAAAAGAAUCUCAUUUCAUGGUAUCUUCCAUGAAGGACCCUCGUACAUUAGCUAUCUAGGUAGAAAUAGCCAUGUGUGUUUAGCAAACUUUAAAUAAGUGAAUAGAUCAAGGUCGUGGAACCCCAAGCCUCCAAUUACACAUGGCCUCUCUACCAAUAAGAUCUCCAAAGACAUCAAGGAUACAGACAGCCAAAAAAGAAAAUAAAAAUAAAAAAAAUAAAAAAUACCCUGCCAUGGUGAUCAAUCACAAGCAUCAACAGCACUCUAACCACCACCAAAGACAAUGCCCAGAUUACAAAAAAAAAUUAUCCAAAAACAAUGCCCCCAAGAAGGAAACAAUACACAAGCGUUGUCGUUGCCCGAUCGAAGAUCGUGGGUUUUCACCCUGGAAAAUUUUCGAGUUCACCCAAAAACAAUGCCUUCAACAAGGCCAUUGCCAAGUACAACAAAUAUGGUCGAGACCUUGGGUUUUCACCCUGGGAAUUGAGACUCGAUGCUCGAGGAGUACCAGCAAAAAUGCAGUCCACUAGUGUUGCCGCCCCCACUUGGCGAGGCCACUGUUGCAAGUCACCAAACACCUGGCAUAUAGUUGUCAUCGCAUCCAAUACACCCUUCGGCCGAAGCUUCAAGACCUUGAUCCGUCUCCAACGUAUCUAUAAUUUUUGAUUGUUCCAUGCUAUUAUAUUAUCUGUUUUGGAUGUUUUAUAUGCAUUAUUGUGCUAUUUUAUAUGAUUUUUGGGACUAACCUAUUAAACUAGAGCCCAGUGUCAGUUCCUGUUUUUUCCUUGUUUUAGAGUUUCGUAGAAAAGGAGUACCAAAUGGAGUCCAAAUGGAAUUAAACUUUUGCGAUGAUUUUUCUUAGACCAGAAGACAUCUAGAGGACUUGGAGUGCACGUUAAGAAAGCCACGAGGCUGCCACAACGACAGAGGUGUGCCCCCACCCUUGUGGGCCCCUUGUGACUCUACCGACAUAUUUCUUCCGCCUAUAUAUUCUCAAAUAUUCCAAAACAUACUAGGAGAGCCACAAAAACACUUUUCCACCGCCGCAACCUUCUAUACCCGUGAGAUCCCAUGUAGGGGCCUUUCCCAGCAUCCUGUCGGAGGGGGAUUCGAUCACUGAGGGCUUCUACAUCAACACCAUUGCCUCUCCGAUGAAGCGUGAGUAGUUUACCACAGACCUAUGGGUCCAUAGCUAGUAUCUAGAUGGCUUCUUCUCUCUCUUUGAUUCUCAAUACCAUGUUCUCCUCGAUGUUCUUGGAGAUCUAUUCGAUGUAAUACUCUUUUUGCGGUGUGUUUGCUAAGAUCCGAUGAAUUGUGGAUUUAUGAUCAGGUUAUCUAUGAGUAUUAUUUGAAUCUCCUAUGAAUUCUUAUAUGCAUGAUUUGAUAUCUUUGCAAGUCUCUUCGAACUACCGAUUUGGUUUGGCCAACUAGAUUGGUUUUUCUUGCAAUGGGAGAGGUGCUUAACUUUGGGUUCAAUCUUGCGGUGCUCGAUCCCAGUGACAGAAGGGGAUGAUACGUCUCCAACGUAUCUAUAAUUUUUUAUUGUUCCAUGCUAUUAUUUUAUCAACCUUGGAUGUUUUAUAUGCAUUUAUAUGCUAUUUUAUAUGAUUUUUGGAACUAACCUAUUAACCUAGAGCCCAGUGCUAGUGCCAGUUUCUGUUUUUUUCCUUGUUUUAGGGUUUCGAAGAAAAGGAAUAUCAAAUGGAGUCCAAACGGAAUGAAACCUUCGGAAAAGUUAUUUUUGGAAAGAAAGUAAUACGGUAGACUUGGAGUGCACGUCCGGGGAUCAACGAGGAAGCCACGAGGCAGGGGGCGCGCCCACCCAUCUUGGGCACGCCCUCCACCCUCGUGGCUCCCCAAAUGUAUUUCUUCCACCUAUAUAUAUAUCCAUAUACCCCAAAACGAUCGAGGAGCACAAUAGAUCGGGAGUUUCGCCGCCAGAAGCCUCCGUAGCCACCGAAAGCUAAUCUAGACCCGUUCCGGCACCCUACCGGAGGGGGAAUCCCUCUCCGGUGGCCAUCUUCAUCAUCCCGGUGCUCUCCAUGACGAGGAGGGAGUAGUUCUCCCUCGGGGCAAAGGGUAUGUACCAGUAGCUAUGUGUUUGAUCUCUCUCUCUCUCUCUCUCUCUCUCUCUCUCUCUCGUGUUCUUGAGGUGAUACGAUCUUGAUGUAUCGCGAGCUUUGCUAUUAGAGUUGGAUCUUAUGUUGCUUCUCCCCCUCUACUUUCUUGUAAUGGAUUGAGUUUCCCCUUCGAAGUUAUCUUAUCGGAUUGAGUCUUUAAAAAUUUCAAAACACUUGAUGUAUGUCUUGCCGCGCGUAUCUGUCGUGACAAUGGGAUAUCAUGUUAUUCACUUGAUGUAUGUUAUGGUGAUCAACAUGCGGGUUCCGCCCAUGAACCUAUGCAUAGGGGUUGGCACACGUUUUGAGGUUCUAUGUGUUGGUUGAAUAGAUGAAUCUAGAUUGUGUGAUGCAUAUCGUAUAAUCAUACCCACGGAUACUUCAGGUGACAAUGGAGUAUCUAGGUGGCAUUAGGGUUUUGGUUGAUUUGUGUCUUAAGGUGUUAUUCUAGUACGAAAUCUAGGACUGUUUGUGACACUUAUAGGAAUAGCCCAACGGAUUGAUUGGAAAGAAUAACUUUGAGGUGGUUUUGUACCCUACCAUAAUCUCUUCAUUCGUUCUCCGCUAUUAGUGACUUUGGAGUGACUCUUUGUUGCAUGUUGAGGGAUAAUUAUGUGAUCCAAUUAUGUUAUUAUUGUCGAGAGAACUUGCACUAGUGAAAGUAUGAACCCUAGGCCUUGUUUCGACGCAUUGCAAUACCGUUUACGCUCACUUUUAUCAUUAGUUACCUUGCUGUUUUUAUAUUUUCAAAUUACAAAAACCUUUAUCUACCAUCCAUAUACCACUUGUAUCACCAUCUCUUCACCGAACUAGUGCACCUAUACAAUUUACCAUUGUAUUGGGUGUGUUGGGGACACAAGAGACUCUGUGUUAUUUGGUUGCAGGGUUGCUUGAGAGAGACCAUCUUCAUCCUACGCCUCCUACGGAUUGAUAAACCUUAGGUCAUCCACUUGAGGGAAAUUUGCUACUGUCCUACAAACCUCUGCACUUGGAGGCCCAACAACGUCUACAAGAAGAAGGUUGUGUAGUAGACACCAAGCUCUUUUCUGGCGCCGUUGCCGGGAAGGUGAGUGCUUGAAGGUAUAUAUUUAGAUCUUGCAAUUGAAUCUUUUUGUUUCUUGUUUUAGCACUAGUUUAGUUUAUAAAAGAAAACUACAAAAAAACGGAAUUGAGUUUACCUCACACGCUUCAUCUUUUUAAUAUCUUUCGUGAGUAUGAUGGAAAGAAAAAUUGUGCCAAAGUGUUAGAAGAAGAAUGCAUUAAAAUGUUUGGCAUUAAAUAUUUGAAUGAUGAGCAUUAUUGCAAUGUUGUUAGUAUGAAUUCCUUGAAUAUCCAUAGUGCUAAUGAUGAUUGCACUAGUUAUGAUGAAAAUGUCUCAUGUAAACAUGUCAAUUUUUGUGGAGUGCAUUGGGUUUGCAAGUACACACCAAUUAGGGAAGAUAGAUUUUGCAAGAGGCAUAAGUACUUAGAAACUAAAUUGUUGCAAGAAAGGCUAGAUGAAUGUGCUGAAAAUUUAAAUUUUCUUGGCCAUACUUGUGAGCUUUGCCAUGAACAUGGUCAUUUAACCAUCCGAUGCAAAUUGUUUCAUGAUCUAAUCAUUUCCAAAAAUUGUGAUGACUUGAUUUCCCUUGCACAUCAUAAUGAACUUAGUUUGCUUAUGGGUUAUGAAGAAAUGAAAUGUAUAACUAACUAUCUUCCAGUAUUUGCCCGUGAUAAACUUCUUGGAUUUGAUCUAGAGGAAAUUUAUAUGUAUUGUGCGGUGAAUUGCAUUGAAAACCCCUAUAUUGCCAAUUACAUAAAGAAAAGAAAACAAAUAGAGGAUGAACAGAAUACUAAUGAAAGGGAAGAAACCUUCCAAUAUCCUCCUAUUAUUUCUUAUAAUGAACUAGGUAACGAGGAGGAGCCUCCUAUUCAACCAAUCUCAUUAAUAAGGAGCUCCAAAAAGAGGAUUGAACCCACACACGAUGUAGUGAAGAAGAAGAAAAGAAAGAGGAAGAGAGGUAAGAAGAUAUCUCUCCCAAAUAAUGCUGCUCCUAUUACUAUUGUGCCUCAUGAAAAUAUAAUUGUGGAAGAUAAUGAUACUUCUUAUGAUCUUGAUAAUCCUUUUGUCACUUGCUUGGAAGAAUAUGAUAAUUGCUAUACUAUUGGUUCUAUCCAUACUAUUAAUGAUGAGAGUGAUUAUGCUUAUGAUAUGAAAAGGCCCAAGCUUUGGGAUGCUAUGUUGGAUGAAGAUGAUGUUUUUGAGAAUAUAUUUGCUACAAUUAAUGUUUGUCCCAAGCUUGGGGAUGCUACGUUUAAUCAAGAUGAUAUUUUUAGUCUCCCAAGUUUUGAUAUGCAAAUUUAUAAUGAUGAUAGCAUGCCUCCUACUUAUGAUGAUUAUUGUGAUGAUACUUAUGCUAUAAAAAGUAGUGAUUAUAUUUAUAAAACUUGUCAUGAUUAUGGUUACCCCUUUUCUGAACAUUACUCUUUUAAUGUGGAAACAAUUUAUAGUAUUCGAGUUUCUUAUGAUACUCCCACUAUUCCGAAUGAGAAGAAUUUUGCUUGUGUAGAGAGUAAUAAAAUUUCUAUGCUUGUAGAUCAUGAAAAGAAUGCUUUAGGUUCUGGUUAUAUUUUUGAAUUCAUUCAUGAUGCUGCUGAAAAUUAUUAUGAGGGAGGAACAUAUGCUUGUAGGAAUUGCAAUAAUAUCAAGUUUCCUCUCUAUGUGCUUAAAGUUUUGAAGUUAUGCUUGUUUUGCCCUCCUAUGCUAGUUGAUUAUUGUUCCCAUAAGUUGUUUGCUCACAAAAUCCCUAUGCAUAGGAAGUGGGUUAGACUUACAUGUUCUAGUCAUAUGCUUCAUGAUGCUCUCUUUAUGUUUCAAUUCUUAUCUUUUAUGUGAGCAUCAUUGAAAUCAUCAUGCCUAGCUAGGGGCGUUAAACGAUAGCGCUUGUUGGGAGGAAACCCAACUUUAUUUUUGUUCCUUGAUUUUUGCUCCUGUCUAGCAAUAAAUAAUUUAUCUAGCCUCUGUUAUGAUUGAGUUUUUAUGUUAGAACCGUUGGGAAGACUUGGGGAAAGUCUUGGCGAUCAUGCUGUAAAAAAACAGAAACUUUAGCGCUCACGAGAACUGCUGACAUUUUUUAUUGGAGAGUGCUAUUUGGUUAAUUAUUUUUGCAGAUGAUUAAUAGAUAAAUUCCUCAUGUCCAGCAAUUUAUUUUAGAAUUUUUGGGGCUCCAGAAGUUUGCGUUAGUUACAGAUUACUACAGACUGUUCUGUUUUUGACAGAUUCUGUUUUUCGUGUGUUGUUUGCUUAUUUUGAUGAAUCUAUGGCUAGUAAAAUAGUUUAUAAACCAUAGAGAAGUUGUAAUACAGUAGGUUUAACACCAAUAUAAAUAAAUAAUGAGUUCAUUACAGUACCUUGAAGUGGUGUUUUAUUUUCUUUCGCUAACGGAGCUCAUGAGUUUUCCAUUUUAAGUUUUGUGUUGUGAAGUUUUCAAGUUUUGGGUAAAGAUUUGAUGGAUUAUGGAAUAAGGAGUGGCAAGAGACUAAGCUUGGGGAUGCCCAAGGCACCCCAAGGUAAUAUUCAAGGACAACCAAAAGCCUAAGCUUGGGGAUGCCCCGGAAGGCAUCCCCUCUUUCGUCUUCGUUCAUCAGUAACUUUACUUGGAGCUAUAUUUUUAUUCACCACAUGUUACGUGUUUUGCUUGGAGCGUCAUUUUAUUUCAUUUUGUUUUGCUUGCUGUUUGAAUAAAGUAUCAAGAUAUGAAAUUAUUAAGUGGGAGAGUCUUCACAUAGUUGCAUAAGUAUUCGACUACUCAUUGAUCUUCACUUACAUCUUUCAGAGUAGUUUGUCAUUUGCUCUAGUGCUUCACUUAUAUCUUUUGAGAGCACGGUGGUGGUUUUAUUUUGUAGAAAUAGAUGAACUCUCGUGCUUCACUAAUAUUAUUUUGAGAGUCCUUAGAACAGCAUGGUAAUUUGCUUUGGUUAUGAAUUUAGUCCUAAUAUGAUGGGCAUCCAAGAGGGAUAUAAUAAAAACUUUCAUAUAAGUGCAUUGAAUACUAAGAGAAGUUUGAUACUUGAUGAUUGUUUUGAGAUAUGGAGAUAGUGAUAUUAAAGUUGUGCUAUUUGAGUAGUUGUGAAUUUGAGAAAUACUUGUGUUGAAGUUUGCAAGUCCCGUAGCAUGCACGUAUGGUAAACGUUAUGUAACAAAUUUGAAACAUGAGGUGUUCUUUGAUUGUCCUCCUUAUGAAUGGCGGUCGGGGACGAGUGAUGGUCUUUUCCUACCAAUCUAUCCCCCUAGGAGCAUGCAUGUAGUGCUUGGUUUUUGAUGACUUGUAGAUUUUUGCAAUAAGUAUGUGAGUUCUUUAUGACUAAUGUUGAGUCCAUGGAUUAUAUGCAUUCUCACCCUUCCAUCAUUGCUAGCCUCUUCGGUACCGUGCAUUGCCCUUUCUCACAUUGAGAGUUGGUGCAAACUUCGCUGGUGUAUCCAAACCCCGUGAUAUGAUACACUCUUUCACACAUAAACCUCCUUAUAUCUUCCUCAAAACAGCCACCAUACCUACCUAUUAUGGCAUUUCCAUAGCCAUUCUGAGAUAUAUUGCCAUGCAACUUUCCACCAUUCUGUUUAUCAUGACACAUUCAUCAUUGUCAUAUUGCUUAGCAUGAUCAUGUAGUUGACAUAGUAUUUGUGGCAAAGCCACCAUUCAUAAUUAUUUCAUACAUGUCACUCUUGGUUCAUUGCAUAUCCCGGUACACCGCCGGAGGCAUUCAUAUAGAGUCAUAUCUUGUUCUAGUAUCGAGUUGUAAUCUUUGAGUUGUAAAUAAAUAGAAGUGUGAUGAUAAUCAUUAAUAGAGCAUUGUCCCAAAAAAAGGAAGAGAAAGGCCAAAUAAAAAAGGGAAGCCCCCCCAAAAAAAGAAAAGAAAGGCCAAAAAAAAGAAAGGCCAGAUAAAAAAAUAAAAAAAUAAAAAAAUAAAAGGGACAAUGCUACUAUCCUUUUUCCACACUUGUGCUUCAAAGUAGCACCAUGAUCGUUAUGAUAGAGAGUCUCUUGUUUUGUCACUUUCAUAUACUAGUGGGAACUUUUUAUUAUAGAACUUGGCUUGUAUAUUCCAACAAUGGGCCUCCUCAAGUGCCCAAGGUCUUUGUGAGCAAGCAAGUUGGAUGCACACCCACUUAGUUUCUUUUGUUGAGCUUUCAUACAUUUAUGGCUCUAGUGCAUCCGUUGCAUGUCAAUCCCUAAUACUUGCAUUAACAUCAAUUUAUGGGCAUCUCCCUAGCCCAUUGAUUAGCCGCGUCGAUGUGAGACUUUCGUCUUUUUGUCUUGUCCACAUAACCCCCUCAUUAUAUUCUAUUCCACCCAUAGUGCUAUAUCCAUGGCUCACGCUCAUGUAUUGCGUGAAAGUUGAAAAAAGUUUGAGAUUACUAAAGUAUGAAACAACUGCUUGGGUUGUCAUCGGGGUUGUGCAUGAUGAGAGCAUUCUUGUGUGACGAAAAUGGAGCAUGGCCAAACUAUAUGAUUUUGUAGGGAUGAACUUUCUUUGGCCAUGUUAUUUUGAAAAGACAUGAUUGCUUAGUUAGUAUACUUGAAGUAUUAUUAUUUUUAUGUCACUAUUAAACUUUUGUCUUGAAUCUUAUGGAUCUGAAUAUUCUUGCCACAAUAAAGAGAACUACAUGGAUAAAUAUGUUAGGUAGCAUUCCACAUCAAAAAUUCUGUUUUUAUCUUAUACCUACUCGAGGACGAGCAGGAAUUAAGCUUGGGGAUGCUGAUACGUCUCCAACGUAUCUAUAAUUUUUAUUGUUCCAUGCUAUUAUAUUAUCAACCUUGGAUGUUUUAUAUGCAUCUUUAUGCUAUUUUAUAUGAUUUUUGGGACUAACCUAUUAACCUAGAGCCCAGUGCUAGUUUCUGUUUUUUCCUUGUUCUAGGGUUUCGAAGAAAAGGAAUAUCAAACGGAGUCCAAACGGAAUGAAACCUUCAGAAAAGUUGUUUUUGGAAAGAAAGCAAUACGGGAGACUUGGAGUGCACGUCAGGGGAUCAACGAGGAAGCCACAAGGCAGGGGGCACGCCCACCCCCUGGGCGCGCCCUCCACCCUCGUAGGCCCCUCGUGGCUCCCCUGAUGCAUUUCUUCCACCUAUAUGUACCAAUAUACCCUAAAACGAUCGGGGAGCACAAUAGAUCGGGAAUUCCGCCGCCAGAAGCCUCCGUAGCCACCAAAAGCCAAUCUAGACCCGUUCCGGCACCCUGCCGGAGGGUGAAUCCCUCUCCGGUGGCCAACUUUAGCAUCCCGGUGCUCUCCAUGACGAGGAGGGAGUAGUUCUCCCUCGGGGCUGAGGGUAUGUACCAGUAGCUAUGUGUUUGAUCUCUCUCUCUCUCUCUCUCUCUCUCUCGUGUUCUUGAGGUGAUACGAUCUUGAUGUAUCACGAGCUUUGCUAUUAUAGUUGUAUCUUAUGUUUCUUCUCCUCCUCUACUCUCUUGUAAUGGAUUGAGUUUCCCCUUCGAAGUUAUCUUAUCGGAUUGAGUCUUUAAAGAUUUGAGAACACUUGAUGUAUGUCUUGCCGUGCGUAUCUGUGGUGACAAUGGGAUAUCACGUGAUUCACUUGAUGUAUGUUUUCGUGAUCAACAUGCGGGUUCCGCCCAUGAACCUAUGCAUAGGGGUUGGCACACGUUUUCGUCGUGAUUCUUCGGUAGAAACUUUGGUGCACUCUUUGAGGUUCUAUGUGUUGGUUGAAUAGAUGAACCUGAGAUUGUGUGAUGCAUAUCGUAUAAUCAUACCCACAGAUACUUGAGGUGACAAUGGUUUGCUCACAAAAUCCCUAUGCAUAGGAAGUGGGUUAGACUUAAAUGUUCUAGUCAUAUGCUUCAUGAUGCUCUCUUUAUGUUUCAGUUCUUAUCUUUUAUGUGAGCAUCAUUGAAAUCAUCAUGCCUAGCUAGGGGCGUUAAACGAUAGUGCUUGUUGGGAGGAAACCCAACUUUAUUUUUGUUCCUUGCUUUUUGCUCCUGUUUAGCAAUAGAUAACUUAUCUAGCCUCUGUUAUGAUUGAGUUUUUAUGUUUUAAUUAGUGUUUGUGCCAAGUAGAACCAUUGGGAAGACUUGGGGAAAGUCUUUGCGAUCAUACUGUAAAAAACAGAAACUUCAGCGCUCACGAGAAUUGAUGGGCAUCUCCCUAACCCAUUGAUUAGCCGCGUCGAUGUGAGACUUUCUCCUUUAUGUCUUCUCCACAUAACCCCCUCAUUAUAUUAUAUUCCACCCAUAGUGCUAUAUCCAUGGCUCGCGCUCAUGUAUUGCGUGAAAGUUGAAAAAAGUUUGAGAUUACUAAAGUAUGAAACAAUUGUUUGGCUUGUCAUCUGGGUUGUGCAUGAUGAGAGCAUUCUUGUGUGACGAAAAUGGAGCAUGACGAAACUAUAUGAUUUUGUAGGGAUGAACUUUCUUUGGCCAUGUUAUUUUGAGAAGACAUGAUUGCUUAGUUAGUAUGCUUGAAGUAUUAUUAUUUUUAUGUCAAUAUUAAACUUUUUUCUUGAAUCUUAUGGAUUUGAAUAUUCUUGCCAGAAUAAAGAGAACUACAUGGAUAAAUAUGUUAGGUAGCAUUCCACAUCAAAAAUUCGGUUUCAUUAGCGGCGUGCCCUGCACCCAUUUAUCACGUCGUAUCUCUGUAGUAUGCGCAUUCCCAAUUUGUCACGACAUACCCUCCUUCAAACCUUCUUGCCCUUUCAGAUUAGCACGCCAAGCUAGCUAUGCACUAUGCGGGAACCUGCAUUUGAAAAAAAAAGAAUCUCAUUUCAUGGUAUCUUCCAUGAAGGACCCUCGUACAUGAGCUAUCUAGAUAUAAAUAGCCCUGUAUGUUUAGCAAACUUUGCAUAAGUGAAUAGAUCAAGGUCGUGGAACCCCAAGCCUCCAAUUACACACGGCCUCUCUACCAAUAAGAUCUCCAAAGACAUCAAGGAUACAAACAGCCAAAAAAGAAAAUAAAAAGGAAAAAAAUAAAAAAUACCCCACCAUGGUGAUCAAUCACAAGCAUCAGCAGCACUCUAACCACCACCAAAGACAACGCCCAGAUUACAAAAAAAAAUCUCGAAAAGCAAUGCCCCCAAGAAGGAAACAAUACACAAGCGUUGUCGUUGCCCGAUCGAAGAUCGUGGGUUUUCACCCUGGAAAAUUUUUGAGUUCACCCAAAAACAAUGCCUUCAACAAGGCCAUUGCCAAGUACAACAAAUAUGGCCAAGACCUUGGGUUUUCACCCUAGGAAUUGAGAGUCGAUGCUCGAGGAGUACCACCAAAAAUGCAGUCCACUAGUGUUGCCGCCCCCACUUGGCGAGGCCGCUGUUGCAAGUCACCAAACACCUGGCAUAUAGUUGUCAUCGCAUCCAAUACACCCUUCGGCCGAAGCUUCAAGACCUUGAUCCGUCUCCAACGUAUCUAUAAUUUUUGAUUGUUCCAUGCAAUUAUAUUAUCUGUUUUGGAUGUUUUAUAUGAGUAGGGCGUUUUGGUGCCCAGGCUCAUCUGCACCCGGUUAGAAAAAAUUCAUAAAAAAUUGAAACAAAUUCAAAAAAUUCCAAAUAAAAUUUGUAUGGUAGACAAUUUGAUGCGUGAGGCCCGCCACAAAUUUCAAGUCAUUUGGACAUAUGAGAAGCUCUCAGCAAAAAAGACAAAUCGGACCAAAAUAGUACAUGAGCAGUAAACAUUUUUACAGACCCUCAAUUUGUCUUUUUUGCUGAGAGCUGCUCAUAUAUUCAAAUGACUUGAAAUUUGGAGCGGGCCCCGCACAUCAAAAUUUCUAUCACACAAAUUUUAUUUGGAAUUUUUUGAAUUUUUCUAGUAUUUGUUUUGAUUUUUUUCAUCGGCACGGGUGCAGAUGAGCUCAGGUGCAGAAAUGGAUUUU
rnacentral:lncRNA from 1 species